GGUACCUUGGCCGAGCGGUUAGGUAACGGUCUGCAAAACCGUGUAGAGCAGUUCGACUCUGCUAGGUACCUCCA
rnacentral:tRNA from 1 species